AUCGCUUCUCGGCCUUUUGGCUAAGAUCAAGUGUAGUAUUGUGGCUUAAAUCUAAAGUGCCCUCCAGAAGGCUCACGGGUUCAGAGUCAGAACAUUAAAAGUUGAUUAGAUCACAGGGACUUUAUGCUCAACAGUGGAUUAAUACAUUGGUGAGUUCAUUGUUGAAUGUGCA
rnacentral:snRNA from 1 species